GACGAACGCUGGCGGCGUGCCUAAUACAUGCAAGUCGAACGAACUCUGGUAUUGAUUGGUGCUUGCAUCAUGAUUUACAUUUGAGUGAGUGGCGAACUGGUGAGUAACACGUGGGAAACCUGCCCAGAAGCGGGGGAUAACACCUGGAAACAGAUGCUAAUACCGCAUAACAACUUGGACCGCAUGGUCCGAGCUUGAAAGAUGGCUUCGGCUAUCACUUUUGGAUGGUCCCGCGGCGUAUUAGCUAGAUGGUGGGGUAACGGCUCACCAUGGCAAUGAUACGUAGCCGACCUGAGAGGGUAAUCGGCCACAUUGGGACUGAGACACGGCCCAAACUCCUACGGGAGGCAGCAGUAGGGAAUCUUCCACAAUGGACGAAAGUCUGAUGGAGCAACGCCGCGUGAGUGAAGAAGGGUUUCGGCUCGUAAAACUCUGUUGUUAAAGAAGAACAUAUCUGAGAGUAACUGUUCAGGUAUUGACGGUAUUUAACCAGAAAGCCACGGCUAACUACGUGCCAGCAGCCGCGGUAAUACGUAGGUGGCAAGCGUUGUCCGGAUUUAUUGGGCGUAAAGCGAGCGCAGGCGGUUUUUUAAGUCUGAUGUGAAAGCCUUCGGCUCAACCGAAGAAGUGCAUCGGAAACUGGGAAACUUGAGUGCAGAAGAGGACAGUGGAACUCCAUGUGUAGCGGUGAAAUGCGUAGAUAUAUGGAAGAACACCAGUGGCGAAGGCGGCUGUCUGGUCUGUAACUGACGCUGAGGCUCGAAAGUAUGGGUAGCAAACAGGAUUAGAUACCCUGGUAGUCCAUACCGUAAACGAUGAAUGCUAAGUGUUGGAGGGUUUCCGCCCUUCAGUGCUGCAGCUAACGCAUUAAGCAUUCCGCCUGGGGAGUACGGCCGCAAGGCUGAAACUCAAAGGAAUUGACGGGGGCCCGCACAAGCGGUGGAGCAUGUGGUUUAAUUCGAAGCUACGCGAAGAACCUUACCAGGUCUUGACAUACUAUGCAAAUCUAAGAGAUUAGACGUUCCCUUCGGGGACAUGGAUACAGGUGGUGCAUGGUUGUCGUCAGCUCGUGUCGUGAGAUGUUGGGUUAAGUCCCGCAACGAGCGCAACCCUUAUUAUCAGUUGCCAGCAUUAAGUUGGGCACUCUGGUGAGACUGCCGGUGACAAACCGGAGGAAGGUGGGGAUGACGUCAAAUCAUCAUGCCCCUUAUGACCUGGGCUACACACGUGCUACAAUGGAUGGUACAACGAGUUGCGAACUCGCGAGAGUAAGCUAAUCUCUUAAAGCCAUUCUCAGUUCGGAUUGUAGGCUGCAACUCGCCUACAUGAAGUCGGAAUCGCUAGUAAUCGCGGAUCAGCAUGCCGCGGUGAAUACGUUCCCGGGCCUUGUACACACCGCCCGUCACACCAUGAGAGUUUGUAACACCCAAAGUCGGUGGGGUAACCUUUUAGGAACCAGCCG
rnacentral:rRNA from 2 species